GAAAUAAAAACAUGUUAAAAUUACAUUUUUAAUGAAGUGGCACUUGGAAGCCCGGACUUCUCCAAAGCAAGUAGUGGUGAUCUGCUGUUACCUGGAAACAACCCAUGUGUACCCAGAGGGAGGGCUUCACUGAUCAGGUAACACAGGAAGAGAGAUCUGAAGAGAGCGAGAGAGUGAGUCAUACAGAUGACCUUGGAGAAAAGCAUUUUGACAAAGAGAGGAAGUCAAAGCUCUGAGCCCAGGCCUUGGGACAGCCCUGCAGAAUAGACUGUGCCACUCGGGACCAUUACUUCCCCUGGUCUACAACAAAGAAGAAAGAAAAGAGAACAGAAUCUUGUAGUCUGUCCAUUCAUUGGCUGCUCCCUACCAAGACAGUCUCUUGGCAAGAGCAGUCUUACUGGGACAGGGUCCCAGAGCUCAAUUAGAAAGCAAUGAACCGCAACAUCAACAAUUCUUAUGCUGUAACAGCCACGGGGGCCAUUUCUCUGGAAACCCCUGUUCGUGACUUUGAAGUCCAGGAAUCUAGCAGAAGAUUUUUACAGGAUGGUCAUCCGUGGACCCUACCUCCCACUCCUACAUAUCUGGCUAGUGCCUCCCACCCCACUGACUCUGGGCUCGGCCACGUGACUUGUUUUGACUGAUGGGACAUUAGCAAAUUUGACAGAAGCAGAGGCUUAACAUAUACUUGCCAACUGGGCAUGGUGCUCUCAUAUCGCUUAGAACUUUUCUGGCAUCCUGUGAAGAAACCCAAGCCAUCCUGCUGGAGCACUGACCUCGCCAACAGCCAGCACCAACCCCCGCAUGUGAGAGGCCACCCUGCCCUGCCCAACGCUGUCCGAGUUGCCAGAUCACUGCAGCCACAUGAGUGGCUGUGGGGAAACCAGCCUCAGAAGAGAGCAGCCGAGUCCAGCCCCAACUGCUGACCUACACAGUAAUGAACUAACAAAAUGGUGUUUGUUUUUAAGUUACUAAGUGCUGGGUGAUUUGUUAAAGCAAUAGAUACGUGAUAUAAAAUUUAUAGAUGCAAGGCUGUCAUUUCAUCCUCCUCUUGUCUGUGUUUCUAGCAAAGGCAUUUACUGCAUAGUAAAAAGAUGGAGAUUCAUUUGUGGCAAAUCCAGAAAGCCCAUUUAUUCAUUUAAGUUGAUUUUGGAUAUAUAAAAACAGAAGUGAGGCCUGAGCAGUUUUCAAAACAUGUAGCAACAGAAUCUUCACCUGAGCAAAGUGAGAAGUUCUGAAUGGCAGGAGGGAGAUUUGCUGGCAGCAAGGCCAGGCCCUGCUCCUGGGAAUAACUCCCUGACGUCAUCCUGUGCUGCGCAGCACUGGUUCCUCCUCCUGACACUUAGCAUGCAUGACUGCACAGACAUUUUCAGCGGUUUUUAAAGAACAUAGAUUUUCGUCUGGCAAAUGGAGGCAGCCAAGUGGUUAAUAAAAUCUGAGGGACACAGUUGAGGAAGGUGACUGCAUAACUUAUGUUCAUGACAAGAAAGUGAAUGGGGAAAUAAUGUUCAAAGAGUCCGAAGGACUCAGGAUAAUGACAAACACAGAAAUGGAUGUAUUCGAAGCAGAGAGAUAGUAGUGAAGUCUCCAACUUCUAUGUGUCUUAGCCCAUCAUCCGGGUAAAAAACAAACUGUCACUACUCAACUUUUCCAAGCAAAACAAGCAUAUUUAGAAGGGAGGUGAGCUCUUAAGGUGACACCAAAAUUGUCAGGAUUGUGCAUGAGGGAGACAGAGAUGUAAACUGAAAUUUUCAGCAUUUGGCAAAGAGGCCCAGACGCCAUUAAAAGUUUCUCCCAGGAAUCUGAAUGAAAUAUUUGUGAAAUACUUUGUUCUGGAGGAGAAGACACUGCAGGGAUUUGAACUGAUGCUGGCAGUAACAGGGCAGAUAACAGGAGAUAAAAGUAGAGACACAAAUGGAGGAAACAGUUGGCUUCCUCGUUCAGCUGUGCUCAAUCAAUCAUAAACUAAUUUUUUGG